GAAUGUCAAAGUCUUUGUCUAGCCUGACUUGGGAUAGCUUCUGGGCAACUGCAGGUUAGGAAGUUCAACAUCUGAUAGGAAUUCAGUGCAGAAAAAUGUAGUUUAGAAAUUGUUUUGAUUCCGUAUCUACAUUCCAUAAGAGAAGAUGCAUCAUGCUAAAAGCUUGGUUUGGUGUGUGCCUAGAGUAGCAUGAGACUCUAAUGUUCUCUGAACAUAUUCAGAGUUUAACUAAUUCAGUGCAAUUUUUGCUUAUGAAAAACUGAUAUUUUUCAGCAUGUAUUGAUCCAUUUCAACUGUGGGUGUGGUUAAAAAAAUGGUUUAACAUGUACUGAAAAUGCCUUCAAAAACGAAGAGUAAAUAGCAUCAGUGAGUUCUAGUACCAAAUUACAAAUGUUCACUGACAAAAAAAUAUCAGUACAAUAUAGUGCUUCAACUAGAAGAUCACUCAUGCUAUUCGCUUCAUGGUUUCUUUGUCGUUUCAACUUUUAUUUUAAUCUUUUCGUUUGUGAAUUCUGCAUCUUUUUAUGUUUACAAAUUAUAGGCACGAUACUUGUACUGGGACUAGAGUACAAGUAUUACUUCCAGGCAAGUUCAAAAUAAAACCCGCAACAAGUUCUUUUUCCAUUUGGGAACCCUCCGCUGCUGUUCUUUGCUUCACCAUGUGGCAAAUAAAUUGUUGCUGCAGUUCAACAAUCAGUUUGCCUAUAAGCAGAGCAACAGAGUGGCAUCCUCGCUGCGUGCCUCUGCCUUGGAGGAUGUAGUAGUGGGGCUGAACUACCCGUUCGGAAUAAUUCUAACGUUUUUUGUGUUCAUUGGAUUUCCGGAUUGUUAGCGCAAGUAAUGCGUUCUGUUUUUGCCUGUUCAGUCCAAGUGGGAGAGCAAAAGUAAGCACUGUCUGCUUAGAAGUUGUGUUUGAAACCCAUUUUUAAUAGUUAAACAAGUAAAUCACUGUGGUAAUGCUUUAUUGUUAUAGUUCUUAAGUGACUGAAAUUUUGACCAUGUGUUUAGAGUUAAGCAACUACAUAAGUUGCAUGAUGUAUUGAUCUACUUGUCAUGCUGAAGUUCAUUGGCUUCUUAAAAUUUCAGAUAUAAACAAGCUGGUGGCCGCCCAUCUCUGCAUGUAUUUUAUUUGGGAUGUAAGUCUCUCUAUAGAUCAUGUUAUGAGUAAUGCAAUUGGACGAAGUUGCUAGGAAGAUAUUUAGUUCACCUUUAAUGUGAUUUGCACUUCAUCUUUAUAGAGCCAAAUCCUGGCGCGCCCAGCCACUGCUCGUGAACCCCGCCUCCAUCAGCUCCACUUCACCAGAGCCGUCAGUCCACAGGAGUAGGGGUAGCGAAUCCCCUAUAGUGGCCAAAUCCCGGUGCUCCAAGCCGCUGCUCGUGAACCACGCCUCCAUCAGCUCCACUACACUGGAGCCGUCAGUCCGCAUGAGUAGGGGUAGCAGGUUCACCCGAUGUCUGACGCCUUCUUCCAUCUCCAAAAAUCUUGUUUUUUGAGUUCAGUUCUUCGUCACAUGUUUCACUAACUUACAAACACCUGAACCGGAACUCAAUCUCGUGUGUUACCGUCCUCUCAUCUGGUCUAUUUUAUUCUCAGGGACGCAUUCAUGGCUUCAUUCAACAAGUGGAAUGUGGGCAGAUGUUGAUCAACAAGUCUGCGGUAUUAAGGUUAGCUGCUAGUACAUAUUAUGGAGUUGGGGACAUGAGGGAGCGAGUGGUACAUGGAUCGGUGGGUGUAGUCUUUGUAGGUUGAGUAGAUUCUUAUUGAAACAACUCUUGUACAACUCUUUCUAUCUCACUCAUAUUUCUAGUUUUUGCAUGGGGCAUCUUCUAGCAUAUGAUUGAAACCCAUUUCCUGUUGUAUUAUGCAUUUAAAAACUCAUAAGUAGUUAAGAGUUCAUUUGUGGUGGCUAGCAAUUCAAUAGCUAGAAAAAGGAUACAUCAGUUCAAAUAUGCUUGCCAUAAGUAUUUAAGAGUUUAUUUGCGGUGGUUAAAAAUGAAGGUACUUUGUUCCAAGGACAAGAACAACUAGAAGUUCAAAUGUUGAUGUGUUAAAAAAACUCCAGCUACUUUGUUUAAGCUUUUGAUGUCUUAAUUUCUGCACUUCUAUAUAGAAUUUGGUGGCUCACUUUUGCUAAUUUUCUGCAGUUCUCAGGUUAGAAAACGAUCAGUUCCAUGUGUAUUUAACAGCAGGUCCAUGUAUAUUUAACAGCAAGUCCAUGAAUUACUACAUGAGCAGUACUGCUAGUGAGACUUCACUACUCCAUUCCAACAAACGUGUAUACGCAAUCCUGGGUUGACAAAGUACUCUGCUACUGCUAGUUUCAGUUCCCUCACUGGAUUUGCAGGCUCACGACCAUCCUCUAACACCCCGUUAGUGCCACCGAUUUGAAGGAGCUCCAUGACUAGUAUCUCUGAGUUCUAAUGCUCCUAACGAUCGUUUGGAAUCUUAUCUUCAAUAUCUUGCUGAUAUGGAACAGUACAAUGUUGCAAUAUAUACUUGUACAAUUAUUUUUAGUACUGAUGACUAGUACUUGCCUCGACAGUACUACGGCAUGCUUCGCUGCCGGUUGCGAGGAUGUGCAACAUAUGUUUAAGCAAGCAUUUAUGUUGUAUUACAAACAAAAAUCUUUCCUCUGUUCCAUAGAAGAUUGUGUGACUUUUUUAAAUACAUUUUAGAAAAGAAGUGUACAGACUUUAGCUUAGCAUUUGAUAAUUGUUUGCAACAUGUACAACCCGUGGAUGAUUAUGUAAUUGUUUUAAUGUGUUACCAUAUGUCCAACAGUUCAAUAUGUAUUUUAUAAUCAGUUUAAAGGGCAUAUUAAAUUCGGUAUGGAUUGUUGCAUCAAUGAUUACUAUCACAAAACACAAAAACAUUUCUUGGAGAAGAAAAUUCAGCCAAUUCAAGUAUAUAAACCAUGCAAGUUUAGUGAUGAUGACACGUCGAAACACAUUUUAAACUAAACCUAAAAGUUACAUUUCUACAAGUUCAAGUGAUCAACCCACUGAACAUUCUGGAUUGUGAAAAAUAGCUCAAUACAAACACACACAUAUAUCAGUACAAGUGAUUUGUUUAUCAGACCGGAAAACAAUAGGAUGUGUCUUGCCAUAUUGAAAACUUUUUAAAUAAAUACAAAGUAAAGUCUAGUAUGUGGAAACAUGCUCAGUACAAAAUCAUAUAGACAUCCGUUCAAGUACUUUUUUGGAACCAUUCAAAACUAUUGUGAAAAACACCUCAGUACAAACACAUAAAUAUAUCAGUACGAGUACUAUGUUUUUUUGAAGAAAAAACACCAUGGUGGGUCUCACCGUAAUCCAAAUUACUCUUCAACGGCUGCAAAUAUGAGAAAACUUUCAACAUGACUAAGUUUCGCAUUUUUGAUAGCUAUCCAACGGUAUAUUAUUUGCCCCAUUUCGACAAACUUUUAAAAAAAUCAUGUUCAAAAUCAAAUUUGACCGUAUUCGAAUUCGUUUUUAAAACAUAAGGAAUUAGAAAAACAUUUCAAUACGAUAAAAUUGCGCAUUUUCCGUAGCUUUCCAACGCCGUAUCAUUUGCGUCAAUCCGGCAAAGCGUUUGCAAAAAAUCGCGAAAAUAUGUUUCGCCCAAAAUUUCACCGUUUUUCAAAUUACUUUUAAAUCAUAUAUAAUUAGAAAAAACAAUACAUAUAUGGAAGAUGUGGAUUCUCACCAGCUUUCCAACGCCAUCUUAUUUGCUCAAUUCCGACAAACCGUUUGAAAAUUGAGUCCAAAAUACAAUUCACGUUUUCGGUUUUGAAAAAAAUGGUUUUUUCAAAACUGCUCUUAAACCAUAAUGAUUUUGCAAAAACAUUCAAUAUAAUUGAAAUAUGGUUGUCAAGAGCUUUCCAACGAUAUAUUACACGCCUCGUUCUGGAAAAAAAAUUACAAAAAGUUUUUGAACUAAAGAAGACAAUGUGUUAAACAGAACUGAAAGCAUCAGUUCAACCACUUCGAAAACAUCAGUAUAACCACCUGAAACCGUCAGUUCAAAAAGGGUAACAGAAUAAUAUUCUGUUAUCCGUAACAGAAUAGCCCUGAUGUAUAUAUAUAUAUAUAUAUAUAUAGACACACACACACACACAUAUAUAUAAUAUACAUAUACAUAUAUAACUAUAAUUUUUUGCUACCUCCUGGUUUCCUGACAUCACGGUCCCACACCAUUGUCAACCUAUAUAGUCAAUAAAUGAGAGAAUUGCACAAGAAGCGGCCCACAGCUCGGACCAAGCAGCUCGAGCAGUAUUUGUGCUUUUGUGGUGUGAGCACUGCAGAGGUUUUUUAUGUUUAGCUCAGAUAUUAAUUUUUCUCCUCUGAACAACAAUGAAAACAUUGCUACAGGUAUUAACUGGGCGGGCUGUGGCCCAUCUAGCCUAGGCCAGAUAUCCAGCUCAGAUAUUAUUAGUUUUCAAGCUGAAAAUGGCUAGCCCAGCUAUACUUUUUUUUAGGAAUACUCAGGCAAGGUCAAGUUGUUAUUCUCCGCCCCGCUCGGCUGCCCGUCUAGCCCAGGCCAGAUAUCCAGCUCACGCCAGAUAUCCAGCUCAGAUAUUGUUAUCUGGCCCGUCUAGCCCAGGCCAGAUAUCCAGCUCAGAUAUUAUUAUUUUUCAAGCUGAAAUUGGCUAGCCCAGCUAUACUUUUUUUUAGGAAUACUCAGGCAAGGUCAAGUUGUUAUUCUCCACCCCGCUCGGCUGCAAAUCUUUCCUAGGAGGGAUGCAUUAGGCUUAACAAGAAAAAUGGGUUUUAAGAAAUAAUAAAUGGGAUGUAAUUAUAAAAACUGGGCAGUAACUAUAAAAAAAUGCACCAAACACGUAAUUACUUUAUAAAUAUUAUUUUUGGAUAUUGAAAUUUUUAAUUUCAUUAAUAGUUGUGAGCGCAAUGUUUCACUGGAUUUUUACGUAAUAUAAAUUUAUAUUGAAAUUGUAUUUAAUCUGACUAGAAAUUUUGGGAUAAAAAUAUUUCGGAUCCCAUCAAAAUGUGGGAAAUUUUAUUGAAUUCUAUUUUGGAUGGUUGGUUGAAAUGGGCUAUACUUUAAACAAAGUGUAAAUGGGCUGUAGUAAAUUCCAUUAGAAUUCAAAAAUGGGCUGCACAUUCUUACAAAUCUCAAAUGGGAUAUAAGUUCUCUGCCAUACACUUGUGGCCUUACUAAGUUGACGCGUCCCUAAAAAAAGAGAGUUGACGCGUAUGCAAGGCUUUGUGAACUUAUAGUCAACACACUGUUCUAACAGCAGUGGUCGUUGGAUGUCCAUCCAACGGAUGCCGUGCUUUUUCUUCAAUCUUGGAUAUUCUAGCUUCACCCGCCCCAAAAAUGAUUCCUCCCCCUGACAUCUGGGGCGCACCGUUUCGAAAACUGACAUGUGGGCCUACUAAGUUGACGUACCAAGGGCUUUGUCAACUUAGCAAUAUAAAUGAUUCUAGCUGCAAUGACCGUACGAUGUCCAACCAACGACCGUCGUGCUUCUUCAACCUCUGGUCUUCUUGCUCCAGCCGCCCAAAGCAGCGCCGGUCGUGCCGCCUGCUCCUGCCUCCCGUGGCCGGCUGUGCUGCCGUAGAGGAAUCACCGCCCCCUACUACUCCCACCGCUGGCGAGGCCAUCCCUCCACUCACCCACACCCCCUGUUAUUCUACGGCGACGGCAGCCUCACACCGCAGCCGAACCAGUGAACCCUCAUACUCAUCUCUGCAUGGGCAUCCACUGCCGCAUCUUCCCAGUCUCCGCGUCGUCCCCUUCCUAGGCCUCACCGUCGUCCACCGCCAUGGUGCUUUCGGCGCGGCGUGGUCAACAUGGUCAAGGAACGACUUCCAUCGGACGUGGAUUGUACAUGGAGAGGCUGACAGUUGGGUCCACGACCGCAGCAUGGAAGUGCCUCCUUAUUACGCGGAAAAUAAUGAUUCCUCCACCUGACAGCUGGGACCCAUCGGACGGGCCACUGUAUUUCGCGAAAAAACAUUUCCCCCUGACUGCAGGGUCCCACCAGCUACAUCUUCGCACGCAAGGAAGUGCGUCCGAAAAAAAAUCGAUUCGCCCCCCUGACUUCUGGGAACCACCAGCAACACCUUGGCACGCAAGGAAGUGCGUCCGGGCAAAAAAAACGAUUCACCCCCUGACUGCUAGGACCCACCAACUACAUCUUCGCACGCAAGGAAGUGCCUGACAGUCGGGACCCACCUGGUCGAAGCAUACAUAGCGUUGUCAUUCUGGUCGCGAACGUGUACGUACAUACUAGUGGAUGUAGAGGCGUGCACGUGUCGUAGUAGAGGCGCGCAUGUAGCAUGUACACGUACGUACAGCGUCCAGUGUGCAAGAAAGAAAAUACGACCACGCAUGUGUACAUACGGGCGGGGUCUCGAACGCCUACUCGCACAUACGUACGGCCAGGGCUCGUUUACAUGGCUGGGUCGGAACGGAGAAACAGCAUCGUCGUCAUGUUCAUGGGGAGCCAGCCGGCUGGGUCAGAAUGGAAUGCGUCGUCGUGUUCAUUGGGAGGGCUUGGACGGAAUAGACGAUGGAAAUGAGGCCUGGCGUACCACAGAACGGAGGAAACGGCCUUGUGUUCGACCUGCCACAUUCGAAACGGGAUCCUGUUCAUCGGGAGGGGUCUGGUGUACCGCAAAACAUAGGAAACAGACCUCCUACGGUCAAAAUGGGGGUCCUGUUGAUCGGGAGGGGUGUGGCGUACCGCAAAACGGACGAAACUGACUUGUGUUGGAGCGCUACGGUCGAAAUGGGGGUCCUGUUCAUCGGGAGGUGGUUGGCGUACCACAAAACAGGACUCCACGUGAUACUGUUCAUCUCCACCGUCAAUCUCCUCCAGCCUCCACGGGCUACCGUCGACCUCCUCCAGCCUCCAUGGGCUCCUGUUCAUCCAGCCUCCACCGCGUGCUACUCCACCAGCUAUUGUUCAACCACCCCUCCACGGGCACCCCUCCACCGUCUACUGUUCAUCCAGCCCUCCACGGGGUCGUCCUGUUCAUCCAGCCGUCCACGGAGUCCUGUUCAUCUAGGCCCAACUGGCUCGAUCGAUCGGCUUCAGUUAGCAGCAGUAGCGAAGGAAUCGCUCGAUCGGGUUCAGUUAACAGCCAUAGAUCAAUUGCUCGGGUUCAGUAACGCGUAGCCUGCAGUGCAAUCGCUCGGGUUUAGUUAGACCCCAACGCCUCGCUCAGGUUCAGAUAGAGCCAAUGCCUCUCACACACGCGCGUACGUGUACGAGAGAAACACGCAUCGCUCGGCCCCCAACCUCCCACCGUAACCGGGAACUCGCCAAAAUUUUCCUCGCCCUCGCUUCUACCAUGGUUUUUUCUGUCAUGGACGUCCCAAAGAAUGUCAUGCGGCUGCGUCUCCGGCCCGCCCAGGACGAAAAGCCCAUUUUUUGUCAUGAUUUUUUGUCAUAGAAGUAGGAGCCCACCACAUCUAUGAUGAUAUUGGGUUUUGUCACAAUUAUCAUCAUAGAAGUGUCAUAAGUAUGACAAAAAAAUUCGUUCGGCCCAAAAUGUCACAGAUGUGUCUUUUUUUGUAGUGUGCGUGGCCUCGAGCCUGGGGAGGGUUGUGUUCACCUCGCGAGCAAACUGCUUGAAGAUACGCUGAGAGGCUGGGGCCUGAGCUCCGCCCAAGAUGCAAGUGAUAGCAUGCGGCUCCUCGAAGCCCCCAGCCCUCUCAUCCUGAUGAUGGUCGUCAUUCCUUCUUUGCAGCGGUGGCAGUGGAGGAAGGCCUGUAUUGCCCUGGGGGCGGUCCUCACGAGGUUGAUCCCUCUAGGCGCCCUUGCAAGGCUGGUCCUGCCACCGAUCCUCACGAGGUCAGCCACGCCACCCCUGGCGAGGGCCACGGUCGUCCCAUCGUCCUCCACCAUGUCCUCCUCCUCGGCCGUAGCCUCGGUCGUUGCGCUCGGGGUGUCGACUGAAGCGUCCUUCUCGAAUGGCCCUAAGCUCCUGGCAAUCGUUGGUGUCGUGGGUGUGGAGGUUGUGGUAGGCCCAGAACGGUCAGCUACCCUUGGAUGACUCUAGCUGGUCCCUGCCGCGCUUCGUGUCUGGUUCCGCCGCGAGCAUGACCACUCCCUUGCACUUCACGUCCUUAGCAUUGGUCUUCUUUUCUUCCGUGUCGGCAGCUGGGAGCUCGAGGAGGGAGAGGCGUCCCUCUUCAGCUCUUGAGCACUUGGUCGCCAGGUUGAACAGCUCCAGGGAUGUGCACAACUCCUCGUGGAUGGCAAGCUCCUCCUUCAUCUUGACAUCACGCACGCCAUCAGAGAAUGCUGAGAUGAUGGCCUCGUCCAUCACCUUGGGGAUCUUGAGGUGGACGCUGUUGAAGCGCUGGAUGUAUUUCUGCAGGGUCUCCCCGGGCUGCUGCCUGAUACGGCGCAGGUCACCCACGGCUGGGGGGCGAUCGCGAGUGCCCUGGAAGAUGGCGAUGAAGCGGCUGCGCAUCUCGUCCCAGGAGGAGAUCGAGUCGGGAGGUAGGUUUAGGAGCCACGAGCGGGCAUCAUCCUUGAGUGCCAUGGGAAACCAAUUCACCGUGAAUUUCUCGUCGCUGUUGGCCACCUCGAUGCUCAGCUCGUACAGCUGCAAGAACUCCACAGGGUCAAGGGUGCCGUCAUAGCGAGGAGGUAGGUCCGGUUUGAACUUGCAUGGCCAGGCGACGCUACGCAGCUCGGGGGUGAAGGCGCGGUAGCCUGCUGUGGUCACCGGGGCCCUUUGCUGACGCAGAGCUUGCUCUUGAUGGUACCCGCGCACCGCUGCCAUAGGCAGUACACGGUCUUGUCGUGUCGGUGCAGGGAGCACAGGGGUGCCUUCUUGAGGCCAAGGGAUUUCUUGACAGCUUCCUUCUUCUCGCACGGGCGCCGGACGUGGUGGGUCACGCCCAGGGGCCACGCGCCUUGGCGCCAGGGCGCCGUCUUGGGGCAGAGGUGGUGGAGGCGCUCCAUGAGCCACAUCACCCGUACCUAGCGGAGGGCGAGGAACCGAGAGGGACGGUGCGGAAGAGCCCCCUGCGGCGCUGACAAGCUCGGUGAUGCGAGUGAGCCAUUCCUUGUAGAGGUCGUUGACGAGGCGGUAACGCAGGAGCUCGCGCGCCAUAAGCAGCGCGACCUGCGCUUCCGUGGGAGCGCGACGAGCGUGGGACGACGAGCCGGCUGGGGUCAGCGACGGAGUGGUGAUGCGGCUGUCUCACUGCACCGAGGGGUGCAGCGAGGAUGCUUGCUGCUUGUUCCCCGCCGGGUCGGUGGCGGCAUUAGCGGCAGGCAACAGAGAACGACGGGGAGGUCCGCCGACAGGAGCCGUCUGGGUGACGCGUGCGGUGAGAGCAGUCUGGCGCUCAGCGCGGGCUCGGCGGGCGUCAGACAUGGAUGCGACAAAGCGAUGGGAUGCGGAUCAGCAGAAGGAAGACUUCGGUGCACCCCUACCUGGCACGCCAAAUGUCGGAUUUAGGGUUCCGGCAAAACCCUUGAGGUUCAAACACUGGGGUGCACACGAAGAUUUCCCCCUACCGAAUCACGCCCUCAGCCUCGCCGCGAUCUCUAAGCUUAGCUCGAUGAACUCACAACACAAGAGACACAAGGUUUAUACUGGUUCGGGCCACCAUUGUGGUGUAAUACCCUACUCUAGUGCGAUGGUGGUGGAUUGCCUCUUGGGCUGAUGAUGAACAGUACAAGGAAAGAACAGUCUCCUGAGGAGAGGUGUUCUUGUGCUUGGUGGGUGCGAGGAUGAACUGAGUCCGUUUCAGAUCCGUUCUAUUGUGGUGGCUAGUCCUGUUUAUAGAGGCUCUGGUCCUCUCCACAAAUAUUGAGCGGGAAGGGAUCCAACAAUGGCCAAUUUGAAAGGGGACAGCUAGUACAAGCUAUCCUGACUAAAGGUGGUCUUCGCCUGUCAAAGGUGCUGGUGGUGACGCCGUCUUGGGCUCCACGAUGACCUCCGUCCUGCCGUCCUGCUGGCCUUGGUCUUGUUGCACCGAUAUGGAAACCUUUGCCUGAUGCCUCGGUACUCCGCGGCUGCACUUGCCCCCCUUAGCACCAAAGGGGAAACGAGGACACUACGUGCUGGCGCCCGCCUGGCGCCCGCCUGGCCUUGGUCGUCAUGGCUUGCGUCACGGGAACCUCACGAGGUACCCCUUGCCUUGAUCCCUUCGCCCCCUCGCGAGCCUGCCUGGUGAGGCCGCUCCUGAGGAGGCCUUGUGUCGUCCGCCUCACGUGGCUUGGCCCCUCGCGAGGGUCUUGAGUGCUGGCUGACGAAGACGGGCUGUACUGGGCCACUGGUGGAGCCACGCCGUGGGUCGCAGGCAAGCAAGUCUGGGGACCCCCGUUCCCAGAAUGCCGACAGAUUGGUCAAUCGUGAAGACGUACGACUACAUCAACUGCGUUUUCAUAAUGCUUCCGCUUACGGUCUACGAGGGUACGUGGACGACACUCUCCCCUCUUGUUGCUAUGCAUCACCAUGAUCUUGUGUGUGCGUAGGAAUUUUUUUGAAAUUACUACGUUCCCCAACAGUGGCAUCCGAGCCAGGUUUAUGCGUAGAUGUUAUAUGCACGAGUAGAACACAAGUGAGUUGUGGGCGAUACUAGUCAUACUGCAUACCAGCAAGUCAUACUUUGAUUCGGCCGUAUUGUUGGAUGAAACGGCCCGGAUGGACAUUACGCGUACGCUUAUGCGAGACUGCUUCUACCAACGUGCUUCGCACACAGGUGGCUGGCGGGUGUCAGUUUCUCUAACUUUAGUUGAAUCGAGUGUGGCUACACCCGGUCCUUGUGAAGGUUAAAAUAGCACAUACUUGACAACAUAUCGUUGUGGUUUUGAUGCCUAGGUAAGAACGGUUCUUGCUCAGCCCAUAGCAGCUACGUAAAACUUGCGACAACAAAGUUGAGGACGUCUAACUUGUUUUUGCAGGGCAUGUUGUGAUGUGAUAUGGUCAAGACAUGAUGCUAAAUUUUAUUGUAUGAGAUGAUCAUGUUUUGUAACGAAGUUAUCGACAACUGGUAGGAGCCAUAUGGUUGUCGCUUUAUUCAAUGAAAUGCAAUCGCCAUGUAAUUGCUUUACUUUAUCACUAAGCGGUAGCGAUAGUCGUAGAAGCAAUAGUUGGCGAGGUGACAACUAUGCUACGAUGGAGAUCAAGGUGUCGCGCCGGUGACGAUGGUGAUCAUGACGGUGCUUUGGAGAUGGAGAUCAAAGGCACAAGAUGAUGACGGCCAUAUCAUAUCACUUAUAUUGAUUGCGUGUGAUAUUUAUCUUUUAUGCAUCUUAUUUUGCUUAGUCCGACGGUAGCAUUAUAAGACGAUCUCUCACUAAAUUUCAAGGUACAAGUGUUCUCCCUGAGUAUGCACCGUUGUGAAAGUUCGUCGUGCCGAGACACCACAUGAUGAUCGGGUGUGAUAAGCUCUACGUUCACAUACAACGGGUGCAAGCCAGUUUUGCACACUCAGAAUACUCGGGUUAAACUUGACGAGCAAGGCAUAUGCAGAUAUGGCCUCAGAACACUGAGACCGAAAGUUCGAGCGUGAAUCCUAUAGUAGAUAUGAUCAACAUAGUGACGUUCACCAUUGAAAACUACUCCAUCUCACGUGAUGAUCGGACAUGGUUUAGUUGAUAUGGAUCACGUGAUCACUUAGAUGAUUAGAGGGAUGUCUAUCUAAGUGGGAGUUCUUUAGUAAUAUGAUUAAUUGAACUUUAAUUUAUCAUGAACUUAGUACCUUAUAGUAUUUUGCAUGGCUAUGUUAUUGUAGAUAUAUGGCCCGCGCUAUUGUUCCGUUGAAUUUUAAUGCGUUCCUAGAGAAAGCUAAGUUGAAAGAUGAUGGUAGCAACUACAAGGACUGGGUCCGUAACUUGAGGAUUAUCCUCAUUGCUGCAUAGAAGAAUUACUCCUGGAAGCACUGCUAGGUGCCAAACCCGCUGCAGGAGCAACACCAGAUGUUAUGAACGUCUGGCAGAGCAAAGCUGAUGACUACUUGAUAGUUCAGUGUGCCAUGCUUUACGGCUUAGAACCGGGACUUCAACGACGUUUUGUACGUCAUGGAGCAUAUGAGAUGUUCCAGGAGUUGAAGUUAAUAUUUCAAGCAAAUGCCCGAAUUGAGAGAUAUGAAGUCUCCAAUAAGUUCUACAGCUGCAAGAUGGAGGAGAAUAGUUCAGUCAGUGAGCAUAUACUCAAAAUGUCUGGGUAUAACAAUCACUUGAUUCAACUGGGAGUUAAUCUUCCGGAUGAUAGUGUCAUUGACAGAAUUCUUCAAUCACUACCACCAAGCUACAAGAGCUUCGUGAUGAACUAUAACAUGCAAGGGAUGGAUAAGACAAUUCCCGAGCUCUUCACAAUGCUAAAGGCUGCGGAGGUAGAAAUCAAGAAAGAGCAUCAAGUGUUGAUGGUCAAAAAGACCACCAAUUUCAAGAAAAAGGGUAAAGGGAAGAAGGGGAACUUCAAGAAGAACGACAAGCAAGUUGCUGCUCAAGUGAAGAAGCCCAACUCUGGACCUAAGCCUGAGACUGAGUGCUUCUACUGCAAAGGGACUAGUCACUGGAAGCAGAACUGGCCCGAGUAUUUGGCGGAUAAGAAGGAUGGCAAAGUGAACAAAGGUAUAUGUGAUAUACAUGUUAUUGAUGUGUACCUUACUAAUGCUCGCAGUAGCACCUGGGUAUUUGAUAUUGGUUCUGUUGCUAAUAUUUGCAACUCGAAAUAGGGACUAUGGGUUAAGCAAAGAUUGGCUAAGGACAAGGUGACGAUGCGCGUGGGAAAUGGUUCCAAAGUCGAUGUGAUCGCAGUCGGCACACUACCUCUACAUCUACCUUCAGGAUUAGUUUUAGACCUGAAUAAUUGUUCUUUGGUGCCAGCGUUGAGCAUGAACAUUAUAUCUGGAUCUUGUUUGAUGCGAGACGGUUAUUCAUUUAAAUCUGAGAAUAAUGAUUGUUCUAUUUAUAUGAGUAAUAUCUUUUAUGGUCAUGCACCCCUGAAGAGUGGUCUAUUUUUAUUGAAUCUCGAUAGUAGUGAUACACAUAUUCAUAAUAUUGAAGCCAAAAGAUGCAGAGUUGAUAAUGAUAGUGCAAAUUAUUUGUGGCACUGCCGUUUGGGUCAUAUUGGUGUAAAGCGCAUGAAGAAACUCCAUUCUGAUGGACUUUUGGAAUCACUUGAUUAUGAAUCACUUGGUACUUGCGAACCAUGCCUCAUGGGCAAGAUGACUAAAACUCCGUUCUCCGGAACAAUGGAGCGAGCAAAAGAUUUGUUGGAAAUCAUACAUACUGAUGUAUGUGGUCCGAUGAAUGUUGAGGCUCGCGGUGGGUAUCGUUAUUUUCUCACCUUCACAGAUGAUUUAAGCGGAUAUGGGUAUAUCUACUUAAUGAUACAUAAGUCUGAAACAUUUGAAAAGUUUAAAGAAUUUCAGAGUGAAGUGGAAAAUCAUCGUAACAAGAAAAUAAAGUUUCUAAAAUCUGAUCAUGGAGGGGAAUAUUUGAGUUACGAGUUUGGUCUUCAUUUGAAACAAUGUGGAAUAGUUUCGCAACUAACACCACCCGGAACACCACAGCGUAAUGGUGUGUCCGAACGUCGUAAUCGUACUUUACUAGAUAUGGUGCGAUCUAUGAUGUCUCUUACUGAUUUACCGCUAUCAUUUUGGGGUUAUGCUUUAGAGACGGUUGCAUUCAUGUUAAAUAGGGCACCAUCUAAGUCUGUUGAGAUGACACCUUAUGAACUGUGGUUUGGCAAGAAAUCAAAGUUGUCGUUUCUUAAAGUUUGGGGCUGCAAUGCUUAUGUGAAAAGCUUCACCCUGAUAAGCUCGAACCCAAAUCGAAGAAAUGUGUCUUCAUAGGAUACCCAAAGGAAAUUGUUGGGUACACCUUCUAUCACAGAUCCAAAGGCAAGACAUUCGUUACUAAGAAUGGAUCCUUUCUAUAGAAGGAGUUUCUCUCGAAAGAAGUGAGUGGGAGGAAAGUAGAACUUGAUGAGGUAACUGUACCUGCUCCCUUAUUGGAAAGUCGUUCAUCAUAGAAAUCGGUUCCUAUGACUCCUACACGAAUUAGUGAGGAAGCUAAUGAUGAUGAUCAUGUAACUUCAGAUCAAGUUACUACAGAACCUCGUAGGUCAACCAGAGUAAGAUCCGCACCAGAGUGGCACGGUAAUCCUGUUCUGGAGGUCAUAUUACUUGACCAUGACGAACCUACGAACUAUGAGGAAGCGAUGAUGAGCCUAGAUUCCGGGAAAUGGCUUGAGGCCAUGAAAUCUGAGAUAGGAUCCAUGUAUGAGAACAAAGUGUGGAAUUUGGUUGACUUGCCCGGUGAUCGGUUAGCCAUCGAGAAUAAAUGGAUCUUCAAGAAGAAGACUGACGCUGACAGUAAAGUUACUAUCUGCAAAGCUUGACUUGUUGCAAAAGGUUUUUGACAAGUUCAAGGAGGUGACUAUGAUGAGACCUUCUCGCCUGUAGUGAUGCUUAAGUCCGUCUGAAUCAUGUUAGCAAUUGCCGCAUUUUAUGAUUAUGAAAUUUGGCAAAUGGAUGUAAAGACUGCAUUCCUGAAUGGAUUUCUGGAAGAAGAGUUGUAUAUGAUGCAACCGGAAGGUUUUAUCGAUCCAAAUGAUGCUAACAAAGUGUGCAAACUCUAGCGAUCCAUUUAUGGACUUGUGCAAGCAUCUCGGAGUUGGAAUAAAUGUUUUGAUAGUGUGAUCAAAGCAUAUGGUUUUAUACAAACAUUUGGAGAGGCCUGUAUUUACAAGAAAGUGAGUGGGAGCUCUAUAGAAUUUCUAAUAUUAUAUGUGGAUGACAUAUUGUUGAUUGGAAAUGAUAUAGAAUUCCUCGAUAGCAUAAAAGGAUAUUUGAAUAAAAAAAUUCAAUGAAAGACCUCGGUGAAGCUGCUUAUAUAUUGGGUAUCAAGAUCUAUAGAGAUAGAUCAAGACACUUAAUUGGACUUUCACAAAGCACAUACCUUGAUAAAAAUUUGAAGAAGUUCAAAAUGGAUCAAGCAAAGAAAGGGUUCUUGCCUGUGUUACAAGGUGUGAAGUUGAGUCAGACUCAAUGCCUGACCACUGCAGAAGAUAGAGAGAAAAUGAAAGGUGUUCCCUAUGCUUCAGCCAUAGGCUCUAUCAUGUAUGCAAUGUUGUGUACCAGACCUGAUGUGUACCUUGCUAUAAGUCUAGCAGGUAGGUACCAAAGUAAUCCAGGAGUGGAUCACUGGACAACGGUCAAGAACAUCCUGAAAUACCUGAAAAGGACUAAGGAUAUGUUUCUCAUUUAUGAGGGUGACAAAGAGCUCGUCGUAAAUGGUUACAUUGUUGCAAGCUUUGACACUGAUCCAGAUGACUCUAAGUCACAAACCGGAUACGUGUUUAUAUUGAACGAUGGAGCUGUCAGUUGGUGCAGUUCUAAGCAAAGUGUCGUGGUAGGAUCUACAUGUGAAGCGGAGUACAUAGCUGCUUCGGAAACAGCAAAUGAAGGAGUCUGGAUGAAGGAAUUCAUAUCCGAUCUAGGUGUCAUACCUAGUGCAUCGGGUCCAAUGAAAAUCUUUUGUGACAAUACUGGUGCAAUUGCCUUAGCAAAGGAAUCCAGAUUUCACAAGAGAACCAAGCACAUCAAGAGACGCUUCAAUUCCAUCUGCGAUCAAGUCAAUGAGGGAGACAUAGAGAUUUGCAAGAUACAUACGGAUCUAAAUGUUGCAGACCCAUUAACUAAGCCUCUCUCACGAGCAAAACAUGAUCAACACCAAGACUCCAUGGGUGUUCGAAUCAUUACUGUGUAAUCUAGAUUAUUGACUCUAGUGCAAGUGGGAGACUAAAGGAAAUAUGCCAUAGAGGCAAUAAUAAAGUUGUUAUUUAUAUUUCCUUAUAUCAUGAUAAAUGUUUAUUAUUCAUGCUAGAAUUGUAUUAACUGGAAACUUAGUACAUUUGUGAAUACAUAGACAAACAGAGUGUCACUAGUAUGCCUCUACUUGACUAGCUCGUUGAAUCAAAGAUGGUUAAGUUUCCUAGCCAUACACAUGAGUUGUCAUUUGAUUAAAGGGAUCACAUCAUUAGAGAAUGAUGUGAUUGACUUGACCCAUUCCAUUGGCUUAGCACUUGAUCGUUUAGUAUAUUGCUAUUGCUUUCUUCAUGACUUAUACAUGUUACUAUGACUAUGAGAUUAUGCAACUCCCGAAUACCAGAGGAACACUUUGUGUGCUACCAAACGUCACAACGUAACUGGGUGAUUAUAAAGGUGCUCUACAAGUGUCUCCGAUGGUGCUUGUUGAGUUGGCAUAGAUCGAGAUUAGGAUUUGUCACUCCGAUUGUCGGAGAGGUAUCUCUGGGCCCUCUCGGUAAUGCACAUCACUAUAAGCCUUGCAAGCAAUGUGACUAAUGAGUUAGUUGCGGGAUGAUGCAUUACGGAACGAGUAAAGAGACUUGCCGGUAAUGAUAUUGAACUAGGUAUUGAGAUACUGACGACCGAAUCUCGGGCAAGUAACAUACCGAUGACAAAGGGAACAACGUAUGUUGUUAUGAGGUUUGACCUAUAAAGAUCUUCAUAGAAUAUGUAGGAACCAAUAUGAGCAUCCAGGUUCCGCUAUUGGUUAUUGACUGGAGACAUGUCUUGGUCAUGUCUACAUAGUUCUCGAACCCCUAGGGUCCGCACGCUUAAUGUUCGGUGACGAUCGGUAUUAUGAGUUUAUGUGAUUUGAUGUACCGAAGGUUGUUCAGAGUCCCGGAUGAUAUCACGAGCAUGUCGAGGAGUCUCGAAAUGGUCGAGACAUAAAGAUCGAUAUAUUGGAUGGCUAUAUUCGGACACCGAAAGUGUUCCGGGUGAUUCUGGAGAAAAUCGGAGUGCCGGAGGGUUACCGGAACCCCCCGGGGACUAAUGGGCCUUGAUGGGCCCUAGUGGAGAGAGAGAGGGGCCGGACAGGGCACGCAGCACGCCCCCUCCCCUUGAGUCCGAAUAGAAGGGAGGGCGCCCCCUUGCUUUCCCCCUCUCCCACUCCUUCCUUCCCCCUCCUAGUGGGACUAGGAAAGGGGAGUCCUACUCCCACUAGGAGGAGGACUCCUCCUCUUGGCGUGCCCUCAAGGGGCCGGCCGGCCUCCCCUCCUUGCUCCUUUAUAUACGGGGGCAGGGGGCACCCUACAACACAAAAGUUGAUCAUUGAUCUUUUAGCCGUGUGCGGUGCCCCCCUCCACCAUAAUCCACCUCGGUCAUAUCGUCGUAGUGCUUAGGCGAAGCCCUGCGCCGGUAGCUUCAUCAUUACCGUCAUCAUGCCGUCGUGCUGACGAAGCUCUCCCUCAAAUCUCUACUAGAUCGUGAGUUCGCGGGACGUCGCCGAGCUGAACAUGUGCAGAUCACGGAGGUGUCGUAUGUUCGGUACUAAGGAUCGGUCGAUCGUGAAGACGUACGACUACAUCAACCGCGUUAUCAUAACGCUUCCGCUUGCGGUCUACGAGGGUACAUGGAUGACACUCUCCCCUCUUGUUGCUAUGCAUCACCAUGAUCUUGCGUGUGUGUAGGAUUUCUUUUUGAAAUUACUAUGUUCCCCAACACUGCUAGCUAAUCCUUAUGCAGGAGAUGGAAGCGAACAUCCUAAUAUGCACUUGAUAUAUGUAGAACAAAUUUGUGGAUUGUUCAAGCUUGCAGGUUUACCCGGAGAUGAGGUGAUGAAAGGUUUUCCCUUUAUCUUUGAAGGGAAAAGCAUUGGCAUGGUAUAGGCUAUGCGAUGGUAUUGGAUCAUGGAAUUGGAAUCGUUUAAAAUUGGAGUUCCACCAAAAAAAUUAUCCUAUGCAUCUAGUUCAUCGUGAUCGGAAUUAUAUAUAUAAUUUUUGGCGAAGGAGAAAGUAUCGCUCAAGCUUGGGGGAGGCUUAAGUCAAUGUUAUAUUCAUGCCCCAAUCAUGAGCUCUCAAGAGAAAUUAUUAUUCAGAACUUUUAUGCUUGGCUUUCUCACAAUGAUCAAACCAUGCUGGACACUUCUUGUGCUGGUUCUUUUAUGAAGAAAACUAUUGAAUUCGAGUGGGAUCUUUUGGAAAGAAUUAAACGCAACUCUGAAGAUUGGGAACUCCAUGAAGGUAAAGAGUCAGGUAUAAAGCUUAAGUAUGAUUGUGUUAAACCUUUUAUGGAUACCGAUGCUUUUCAAAAGUUUAGCACUAGAUAUGGACUUGACUCUGAGAUAGUAGCUUCCUUUUGUGAAUCAUUUGCUACUCAUGUUGAACUCCCUAAAGAUAAGUGGUUUAAAUAUCACCCACCUAUUAAAGAUGAAAUUAAAAAACCAGUACCAGUUAAAGAAGAAACUAUACUCUAUAAUGUUGAUCCAGUUGUUCCUACUGCUUUUAUUGAGAAACCACCUUUUCCUAUAAGGAUAAAGGAACAUGCUAAAGUUUCAACUGUGGUUAACAAAAGCUAUGUUAGAACACCUAAACCAGAUGAACAAAUUAGGAUGGAACCUAAUGUUGCUAUGGUUAAAGACCUCUUAGAAGAAGAUAUAGAUGGGCAUGCUAUUUACUUAUGUGCAGAAGCUGCUAGAAUUGCUAAACCCGAUAAAAGGGAUAAACAUAGACUAGUUGUUGGCAUGCCUAUCAUUUCAGGUAAAAUAGGAGAUCACUAUAUCAUGGUUUGUGUGACAUGGGUGCUAGUGUGAGUGAUAUUCCUUACACUUUAUAUCAAGAAAUUAAGAAAGACAUAGCACCUGCAGAGAUAGAAGACAUAUAUGUUACUAUUAAACUUGCUAAUAGAGAUAUCAUAUCACCUUUUGGGAUUAUUAGAGAUGUUGAAGUCUUGUGUGGGAAAAUAUAAUACCCUACCGAUUUUCUUGUUCUUGAUUGCCCACAAGAUGACUUCUAUCCCAUUAUUUUUGGUAGACCUUUCUUGAACAAAGUUAAUGCUAAGAUAGAUUGUAAGAAACAAACUGUUGGUGUUAGUUUUGGUGAUGAGUCUCAUGAGUUUAGUUUUUCCAAGUUUAGUAGAAAUCAUCAUGCAAAAGAAUUGCCUAGUAAGGAUGAAUUAAUUGGUCUUGCUUCUAUUGUUGUGCCACCUACUGAUCCUUUAGAACAAUACUUGCUGGACCAUGAAAAUAAUUUACAUAUGCAUGAAAGAAAUGAAAUAGAUAAGAUUUUCUUUGAACAACGUCCUCUACUUAAACACAAUUUGCCUAUUCAAACUCUAGGAGGUCCUCCUCCACCUAAAGGUGAUCUUGUGUUUGAAUUAAAACAAUUGCCAGACACUUUGGAAUAUGCUUAUCUUGAUGAAAAGAAAAUAUAUCUUGUUAUUAUCAGUGCUAACCUUUCAGAACAUGAAGAAUAAAGAUUAUUGAAAGUUCUAAGGAAGCACCGAGCUGCUAUUGGAUAUACUCUUGAUGAUUAAAAGGGCACUAGUCCCACUCUAUAUUAGCACAAAAUUAAUAUGGAACCUGAUGCUAAACCAGUUGUUGAUCACCAAUGUUGGUUAAAUCUGAAGAUGAAAGAGGUGGUAAGAACGGAAAUAUUAAAACUUCUGGAAGCGGGUAUAAUCUAUCUUAUAGCUGUUAGUAGCUGGGUAAGUCAUGUUCAUUGUGUCCCUAAGAAAGGAGGUAUAACUGUUGUACCUAAUGAUAAGAAUGAACUUAUUCCACAAAGAAUUGUAACAGGCUAUAGAAUGGUAAUUGAUUUCAGAAAAGUAAACAAAGCUACUAGAAAAGAUCAUUACCCUUUGCCUUUUAUUGAUCAAAUGCUUAAAAGGUUAUCUAAGCACACACAUUUUUGCUUCCUUGAUGGAUAUUCUGGCUUUUCACAAAUACCUGUUUCUCAACCUGAUCAAGAAAAUACCACUUUUACUUGUCCUUUUGGAACCUAUGCUUAUAGACGUAUGCCCUUUGGUUUAUGCAAUGCACAUGCUACCUUUCAAAGAUGUAUGACUGCUAUAUUCUCUAACUUUUGUGAAAAGAUUGUUGAGGCUUUCAUGGAUGAAUUUUCUAUUUAUGGGAAGUCUUUUGAUGAUUGUUUAAGCAAUCUUGAUCAAGUUUUGCAGAGAUGUGAACAAACAAAUCUUGUCUUGAAUUGGGAGAAGUGCCACUUUAUGGUUAAUGAAGGCAUUGCCUUGGGUCAUAAAAGUUCUAAAAGUGGUAUUGAAGUGGACCAAGCUAAGGUUGAUGCAAUUGAGAAAAUGCCAUGUCCUAAGGACAUAAAGGGUAUUCGUAGUUUCCUAGGUCAUGCUAGUUUCUAUAGGAGGUUUAUUAAAGACUUCUCUAAAAUUUCUAGGCCUCUCACCAAUCUUUUGCAAAAGGAUAUUCCUUUUGUUUUUGAUGAUGAUUGUUUAGAAGCCUUUGAAACACUCAAGAAAGCCUUAAUUUCUACACCUAUUGUUCAGCCACUUGAUUGGAACUUGCCUUUUAAAAUUAUGUGUGAUGCUAGUGAUUAUGCUGUGGGUGUUGUUCUAGGACAAAUAGUUGAUAAGAAAUUGAAUGUUAUUCGUUAUGCUAGUAAAACUCUAUACAGUGCUCAAAGAAAUUAUGCUACUACUGAAAAAGAAUUCUUAUCAGUUGUGUUUGGUUGUGAUAAGUUUAGACCUUAUAUUGUUGAUUCCAACAAUAAUGCUUUUUGCAUCAUGUUUUCUUACUGUUCUAGGUCUAAGCUUGGGGGAGUUGAUGCAUCCAUUUUGCAUCAUGUUUUCUUACUGUUAUUUAUAAUGUUUUUAUCCAUAUUAAUGCUUUUUGGAGUAAUUCCAAUGCCUUUUCUCUCAUAAUUUGCAAGGUAUACACCAAGAGGGAGAACUCCGGCAGCUGGAAAUCUAGACCUAAAAAAGCUACGUCGGGCCACCUAUUCUGCACAACUCCAAACAAGCUGAAACUUCACGGAGAUUUUUUAUGGAAUAAAGAAAUAUUGGAGCCAAUAACUACGAGAGGGGGGCCACCAGGUGGGCACAACCCACCUGGGUGCGCCAGGCAGCCCAAGCGCGCCCUGGUGGGUUGUAGCCUCCUCGGCCCACCUCUGGUGUCCAUCUUAUGGUAUAUAAGUCAUUUUUACCUACAAAAAAUGAGGAGAAGUCUUUCGGGAUGGAGCACCGCCGUCUCGAGGCAGAACUUGGGCAGGACCACUUUUGCCCUCCGGUGGAGCAAUUUUGCCGGGGGAACUUCCCUCCCGGAGAGGGAAAUCAUUGUCAUCAUCAUCACCAACAACUCUCCCAUCUUGGGGAGGGCAAUAUCCAUCAACAUAUUCAGCACCAUCUCAUGUCAAACCCUGGUUCAUCUCUUGUAUUCAAUCUUGUUACCAGAACUAUAGAUUGGUGCUAGGGUGACUAGUAGUGUUGAUUACAUCUUGUAGUUGAUCACUAUAUGGUUUAUUUGGUGGAAGAUUAUAUGUUCAGAUCUAUGAUGCUAUUUAAUACUCCUCUGAUCAUGACCAUGUUUAUUAUUUGUGAGUAGUUACUUUUGUUCUUGAGGUCACGUGAUAAAUCAUGUUGCAAGUAAUUAUGUGAAUUUGAUAUGUGUUCGAUAUUUUGAUGGUAUGUAUGUUGUGAUUCCCUUAGUGAUGUCAUGUGAACGUCGACUACAUGAAACUUCACCAUAUUUGGGCCUAAGGGAAUGCAUUGUGGAGUAGUAAAUAGAUGGUGGGUUGCGAGAGUGACAGAAGCUUAAACCCCAGUUUAUGCGCUAUUCCGUAAGGGACCGAUUGGACCCAAAAGUUUAAUGCUAUGGUUAGUAUUCUUAAUACUUUUCUCGUAGUUGCGGAUGCAUGCGGGAGGGUUAAUCAUAAGUAGGAUGUUUGUUCAAGUAAGAACAACACCUAAUCACCAGUCCACCCACAUAUCAAAUUAUCAAAGUAGCGAACACAAUCAAACCAACAUGAUGAAAGUGACUAGAUGAAAUUCCCGUGUACCCUCAAGAACACUUUGCUUAUCAUAAGAGACCGUUUUGGCAUGUACUUUGCCUCAAAAAAUUGGGCCACCUUGCUGCAUACUUGUUACUAUUAUUGUUACUUGCUCGUUACAAAUUAUCUUGCUAUCAAACUACUCUGCUACUUACAAUUUCAGCACUUGCAGACAUUACCUUAAUGAAAACUAAUUGUCAUUUCCUUCUGCUCCUCGUUGGGUUCGACACUCUUACUUAUCGAAUAAAGCUACAAUUGAUCCCCUAUACUUGUGGGUCAUCAGCAGGAUCUAGACUGACCCCACAGAUCAAUACUAGUCUUUUCUGUGCACUUUGUCCUCAGUCGUGCGCACCCGGGAGCAACCUACUGGUCGAUCACCCAUCCUGAAAUUACUCCAAGCUGAGCAUGCUUAACUAUGGAGUUCUAUCCGAAUGGGCUUCCGGAAAAGAAGAAAUUCCUUAUUGAUAUGAGUAGUUGAUGUCUACUACACAACCUUCUUCUUGUAGACAUUGUUGGGCCUGCAAGUGCACAGGUUUGUAGGACAGUAGCAAAUUUCCCUCAAGUGGAUGACCUAAGGUUUAUCAAUCCGUAGGAGGCGUAGGAUGAAGAUGGUCUCUCUCAAACAACCCUGUAACCAAAUAUCAAAAAGUCUCUUGUGUCCCCAACACACCCAAUACAAUGGUAGAUUGUAUAGGUGCACUAGUUCGGCGAAGAGAUGGUAAUACAAGUGCAAUAUGGAUAGUAGAUAAAGGUUUUUGUAAUCUGAAAAAUAUAAAAAUAGCAAGGUAACUAAUGAUAAAAGUGAGUGUAAACGGUAUUGCAAUGAUAGGAAACAAGUCAUAGGGUUCAUACUUUCACUAGUGCAAGUUCUCUCAACAUUAAUAACAUAGAUAGAUCAUAUAACAAUCCCUCAACAUGCAACAAAGAGUCACUCCAAAGACACUAAUAGAGGAGAAUAAACAAAGAGAUUAUGGUAGGGUACGAAACCACCUCAAAGUUAUUCUUUGGGAUCGAUCUAUUCAAGAGUUCGUACUAGAAUAACACCUUAAGACACAAAUCAACCAAAAACCCUAAUGUCACCUAGAUACUCCAUUGUCACCUCAAGUAUCCGUGGGGAUGAUUAUACGAUAUGCAUCACACAAUCUUAGAUUCAUCUAUUCAACCAUCACAAAGUACUUCAAAGAGUGCCCCAAAGUUUCUACCGGAGAGUCAAGAAAACGUGUGCCAACCCCUAUGCAUAGGUUCAUGGGCGGAACCCGCAAGCUGGUCACCAAAACAUACAUCAAGUGGCACGUGAUAUCCCAUUGUCACCACAGAUAAACACGGCAAGACAUACAUCAAGUGUUCUCAAAUCAAAGACUCAAUCCGGUAAGAUAACUUCAAGAGGGAAACUCAAUUCAUCACAAGAGAGUAGAAGGGGGGGAAACAUCAUAAGAUCCAACUAUAAUAGCAAAGCUCGCGAUACAUCAAGAUCGUGCCAUAGAGAGAACACAAGAGAGAGAGAUCAAACACAUAGCUAUUGGUACAUACCCUCAGCCCCGAGGGUGAACUACUCCCUCCUCGUCAUGGAUAGCCCCAGGAUGAUGAAGAUGGCCACCGGUGAUAGGUUCCCCCUCCGGCAGGGUGCCAGAACGGGCUCCCGAGAGGUUUUUGGUGGCUACAGAGGCUUGCGGCGGUGGAACUCCCAAUCUAUCUUCUCCGUGGAUGUUUUUAGGGUACGUGGGACUAUAUAGGCGAAAGAAGUCGGUCGGGAGGUGCUCGAGGGGCCCACGAGACAGGGGGUGCGCCCAGUAGGGGGGCGCCCCUAUCUCCUGGCCUCCUCGAGGAUCUUUUGACGUGAACUCCAAGUCUCCAGGAUCAUAUUCUUCCAAAAAAUCACGCUGCCGAAGGUUUCAUUCCGUUUGGACUCCGUUUGAUAUUCCUUUUCUUCGAAAUAUUGAAACAAGCAAUAAAACAGCAAUAUGGGUUGGGCCUCCGGUUAAUAGGUUAGUCCCAAAAGUAAUAUAAAAGUGUAUAAUAAAGCCCAUAAUCAUUCAAAACAGAUAAUAAAAUAGCAUGAAUGCUUCAUAAAUUAUAGAUACGUUGGAGACGUAUCAUCAUCCCCGAGCUUAAUUCCUACUCGUCCCCGAGUAGGUAAAUGAUAAAAGAAAGAAUUUAUGAAGUGUGAAUGCUAGAAGGUGCACAAGUUUGAUCAUUCAUAAUUUCAAUCACCUUUUCUAGCAUGAUAAUAUGUCAUAACAAUAGUUCAUCUCAUAAAACUUCUCACGAUAAAGUAACAAGGAGUUCACAUGUCAAAGCAUAGACCAUAAACUUUCUUGAAAACUAGCAAACUUCAUUCUCAGUCAUCAAACAAUUGCAAUUCAUCUUAUUUUCAGGAAUAGCAAACUCCACAUACUCAACUAUCAUAUAGUCUUCUACAAUUGCUAACACUCACGCAAUACUAAUGGUUAUGGAGUUUCAAUCGGACACUGAGAAAGAUAGGGGCUUAUAGUGUUGUCUCCCAACGUAUUCACCUUUGGGUGAUGUCAACAAUAAUAGUUCAUGCUAACUUACAUUCAAUUGGAUAUAUAUAUCAGGAUCACCCCAACACAAAGUGCUUGCCAAAGGAUAAAAUGAAAAAGGGAAAGGUGAAGAUCACCUUGACUCUUGCAUAAAGUAAAAGAUAGGCCCUUCGGAGAGGGAAGUAGAGGUUGUCAUGCGCUUUUAGGGUUGGAUACACAAAAUCUUAAUGCGAAAGAAUGUCACUUUAUAUUUCCCCUUGUAUAUGGACCUUUAUUAUGCAGUCUAUCGCUUGUAUUGCUUCCAUAACAAGAUCGUACAAAGCUUAUUUUCUCCCCACUAAUAAGUCAUGCAUAUUUAGAGAGCAAUUUUUAUUGCUUGCACCGAUGACAACUUACUUGAAGGAUCUUACUCAAUCCAUAGGUAGGUAUGGUGGACUCUCAUGGCAAAACUGGGUUUAAGGAUGUUUGGAAGCACAAGUAGUAUCUCUACUUGGUGCAAGGAAUUCUGGCUAGCAUGAGGGGGAAAGGCAAGCUCAACAUGUUUGAAUGAUCCAUGACAAUAUACUUUAACUGAGAUGUCGGAAAACACAAACUAUUACGUUGUCUUCCUUGUCCAACAUCAACUCUUUAGCAUGUCAUACUUAAUGAGUGCUCCCAAUUAUAAAAGAUGUCUAGGAUAGUAUAUUUAUAUGUGAAAUCUCUCUUCCUUCAAUAUUCUUUCAUGAAUUGUUCAAAUGACCAAUACAAUGCUUGCUAACCUUCAAUAAAUUUACAACCUCUACUUCUUAGAUGUGAAGUCAUUACUCCCCAUGGGAUAAGAAAAUGAGGCAUAUAUAAUUUCAGAUUUAUGACAUUCAACUCAUUCAAACAUUUACCGGUAGGAUAUAAGUGAAGCACACGAGUAAAUGACAAACUACUCCAACAAGAUAUAAGUGAUGAUCAAUGAGUAGCUAAAUAAUUAUGUAACUAUGCAAAGACUCUCUCUCAUUAAAGAAUUUCAGAUCUUGGUAUUGUAUUCAAACAUCAAGCAAAACAAAAUAAAAUGACAUUGCAAGGAUAGCACAACUCAUGUGAAGAAGCAAAAACUUAGGCUCAACCGAUACUAACCGAUAGUUGUUGGAGAAGAAAGGCGGGAUGCCUACCGGGGCAUCCCCAAGCUUAGAUGCUUGAGACUUCUUGAAAUAUUAUAUUUGGGUGCCUUGGGCAUCCCCAAGCUUGAACUUUUGUGUCUCCUUAAUUCCUCUCAUAUCAUGGUUUCUCUAUUUAUCAAAAGCUUCAUUCACACCAAACUCAACAAGAACUCAUGAGAUAGGUUAGUAUAAACCAAUGCAAAACCUUAUCAUUUUCUACUGUAACAAAUCACUAAAAUUAUUAUUCAACAUUGAAUACUAAAUGCCUCUGCAUAUUUAAUACUCCUAUCCUGAAAUAGAAUCAUUAAACAAGCAAACAUAUGCAAACAGUGCAAACAUAACAGCAAUCUGCCAAAACAGUACAGUGUGUAAAGAAUGCAAGAGUAUCAAUACUUCCCUAACUCCAAAAAUUAUGAGGGAAAAUUACCACUAUAGUAAAUUUAUCAGAUCUAAAUAUGCAAAAAGUUUCAACAUUAUACCAUUCUCUGACUUUUCUAGGGAAUUUUUGCAACAGCGGUAAACUUUUUGUUUUCAAACAGCAACAUGUAUACUAGCAAAAUAAGCAUGGUAAAGGCUAUCCUCGAGAUUUUUAUUGAAAAUAAAGAUGCAAAAUAUUAUUCUAAAUAACAGCAAGCAAAUACUAACAAAAGAAAAUGACGCUCCAAGCAAAACACAUAUCAUGUGGUGAAUAAAAAUAUAGCUCCAAGUAAAGUUACCGAUGAACAAAGACGAAAGAGGGGAUGCCUUCCGGGGCAUCCCCAAGCUUAGGCUCUUGGUUGUCCUUGAAUAUUACCUUGGGGUGCUUUGGGCAUCCCCAAGCUUAGGCUCUUGGUUGUCCUUGAAUAUUACCUUGGGGUGCCUUGGGCAUCCCCAAGCUUAGGCUCUUACCACUCCUUAUUCCAUAGUCUAUCGAAUCUUUACCCAAAACUUGAAAACUCCACAACACAAAACUCAACAGAAAACUCGUAAGCUCCGUUAGUAUAAGAAAGUAAAACAACCACUUAGGUACUUUAAUGAACUCAUUCUUAAUUCAUAUUGGUGUAAUAUCUACUGUAUUCCAACUUAUCUAUGGUUCAUACCACUUAAUACUAGCCAUAGAUGCAUCAAAAUAAGCAAACAACACACAGAAAACGGAAUCUGUCAAAAGCAGAACAAUCUGUAGUAAUCUGUAUCAAACGUAUACUUAUGGAACUCCAAAAAAUCCUACCAAAUUAGUAAGUCCUAAGAAAUUUGUGUGCCAAUCCAGAUCAAAAAUAAUCAGACCAUACGCACGUUUCUGUGAAUUAACAAAACUAAUUUACUGGAUGCAAAAGUUUCUGAUUUUCAGCAGGAUCAACACAACUAUCACCGUAAGCUAUCCUAAAGGUCUUACUUGGCACUUUAUUUAGAUAAAAGCCAUAAAACAUGAUUACUACAGUAGCAUAAUCAUGUGGACACACAAAAGCAGUAAGGAUAAAUAUUGGGUUGUCUCCCAACAAGCGUUUUUCUUUAAUGCCUUUCUAGCUAGGCAUGACGAUGACAAUGAUGCUCAUAUAAAAGAUAAGAAUUAAACAUAACGGGAGCAUCAUGAAGCAUAUGACUAGCACAUUUAAGUCUAACACACUUCCUAUGCAUAGGGACUUUGUGAGCAAACAACUUAUGGGAACAAUAAUCAACUAGCAUAGGACGGCAAAACAAGCAUAACUUCAAGAUUUUCAACACAUAGAGAGGAAACUUGACAUUAUUGCAAUUCCUACAAGCAUAUAUUCCUCCCUCAUAAUAAUUUUUAGUAGAAUCAUGAAUGAAUUAAACAAUACAACCAUCACCUAAAGCAUUCUUUUCAUGAUCUACAAGCAUAGAAAAUUUACUACUCUCCACAUAAGCAAAAUUCUUCUCAUUCGGAAUAGUGGGAGUAUCAUAAGAGACUUGAACACUAAAAAUUAUUUCCACAUUAAAAGAGUAAUGUUCAGAAAAAGGGUAAUCAUAAUCAUGACAAUUUUUAUAAAUAUAAUCAUCACUACUUUUUAUAGCAUAAGUUUCAUCACAAUAAUCAUCAUAAGUAGCAACUUCGUUCUCAUCAUAAUCGAUUGAAACCUCUCCCAAUAUAGUGGAAUCAUCACUAAAUAAAGUUGACUCUAUUCCAAAUCCACUUUCAUAUUCAUCACAAUAAAAUUCAACAUCCUCCAAAAUAGUGGGAUCACUACUUCCUAAAGUUGACACUCUUCCCAACCCACUUUCAUCAAUAUAAUUAUCAUAGGUAGGAGGCAUGCUAUCAUCAUAACAACUUUGCAUAUCAAAACUUGGGAUGCUAAAAAUAUCAUCUUCAUUAAACGUAGCAUCCCCAAGCUUGGGACAAACAUUAAUUUCAGCAAAUAUAUUCUCAAAUAUGUCAUUCUCAUCAAACAUAGCUUCCCCAAGCUUGGGCCUUUUCAUAUCAUAAGCAUAAUCACUCUCAUCAUUAAUAGUAUGGAUAGCACCAAUAGUAUAACAAUUAUCAUCAUCACAAUGAGUAGUAGGAGCAACAUCAUUUGGAAGGGAUACCUUUUUACCUUUGUUGCCCCUUAUUUUCCUUUUAUUCUUCACAUUAUGUGUGGGUUCAACCUUCUUCUUUGAGCUCCUUAUAGAUGAGAUUGGUUGAAUAGAAAGCUCCUCCUCGUUACCUGAUUCAUCAUAAGAAAUAAUAGGAGGAGAUUGGGAAGUCUCUUCCCUUUCAUUAGUAUUCUCAUCAUCUUCUAUUUGCUUUCUUUUAUUUAGGUAAUUGGCAAUAUAAGGAUUUUCAAUGCAAUUCUCCGCACAAAACAUAUAAAUCUUUUCUAGAUCAAUAUCAAGGAAAUGCUCAAGAUUAAAUUCUGGAAUAGGCUUAGUUAAACGUUUCAACUCUUGAUAACCCAAAGCAAAUUAAGUUCAUUAUAAUGUGCAAGGGAGAUCAACUCAUCACAAUUUUUGGACACAAUUCGGUCUUGAAACAAUUUACAUUUGAGAUGUAAAUGACCACGUUCAUUGCAAAGUUCACAAGUACGGCAAAGGAAAUUUAAAUUUUCAGAACUCACAUCUAGCCUUUCUUGCAACCAUUUAGUUUCUAAAUGCUUAUGCGUCUUGCAAUAUAUAUCUUCUCUAUUUGGUGUGUUCAUGCAAACAUGCACUCCACAAAAGUUGACAUGCUUAUAGGAGAUAUUUUCAUCAUGACUAGAGCCAUCAUCAUUAGUACUAAGGAUAUUCAAGGAGUUCAUACUAACAACAUUGCAAUCAUGCUCAUGAUUCAAAGAUUCAGUACCAAGCAUUUUAAUGCACUCUUCUUCUAGCACUUGAGCACAAUUUUCCUUUCCAUCAUACUCACAAAAUAUAUUAAAAAGACGAAGCGUAUGAGACAAACUUAACUCCAUUUUUUGUAGUUUUCUUUUAUAAACUAAAUUAGUGAUAAAACAAGAAACAAAAAGAUUUGAUUGCAAGAUCUAAAGAUAUACCUUCAAGCACUCACCUCCCCGGCAAUGGCGCCAGAAAAGAGCUUAGUUGACGGGGUGUGAGUGCCGCUUACCUAGCCUCCCCGGUAAUGGCGCCAGAAAAGAGCUUGAUGUCUACUACACAACGUUCUUCUUGUAGACGUUGUUGGGCCUGCAAGUGCACAGGUUUGUAGGACAGUAGCAAAUUUCCCUCAAGUGGAUGACCUAAGGUUUAUCAAUCCGUAGGAGGCGUAGGAUGAAGAUGGUCUCUCUCAAACAACCCUGCAACCAAAUAACAAAAAGUCUCUUGUUUCCCCAACACACCGAAUAUAAUGGUAAAUUGUAAAGGUGCACUAGUUCGCCGAAGAGAUGGUGAUACAAGUGCAAUAUGGAUAGUAGAUAAAGGUUUUUGUAAUCUGGAAAUAUAAAAACAGCAAGGUAACUAAUGAUAAAAGUGAGUGUAAACAGUAUUGCAAUGAUAGGAAACAAGGCCUAGGGUUCAUACUUUCACUAGUGCAAGUUCUCUCAACAUUAAUAACAUAGAUAGAUCAUAUAACAAUCCCUCAACAUGCAACAAAGAGUCACUCCAAAGCCACUAAUAGCGGAGAACAAAUGAAGAGAUUAUGGUAGGGUACGAAACCACCUCAAAGUUAUUCUUUCGGAUCGAUCUAUUCAAGAGUUUGUACUAGAAUAACACCUUAAGACACAAAUCAACCAAAACCCUAAUGUCACCUAGAUACUCCAUUGUCACCUCAAGUAUCCGUGGGAAUGAUUAUACGAUUUGCAUCACACAAUCUCAGAUUCAUCUAUUCAACCAUCACAAAGUACUUUAAAGAGUGACCCAAAGUUUCUACCGGAGAGUCAAGAAAAUGUGUGCCAACCCCUAUGCAUAGGUUCAUGGGCGGAACCUGCAAGUUGGUCACCAAAACAUACAUCAAGUGGCACCUGAUAUCCCAUUGUCACCACAGAUAAACACGGCAAGACAUACAUCAAGUGUUCUCAAAUCAAAGACUCAAUCCGAUAAGAUAACUUCAAGAGGGAAACUCAAUUCAUCACAAGAGAGUAGAGGGGGGAGAAACAUCAUAAGAUCCAACUAUAAUAGCAAAGCUUGCGAUACAUCAAGAUCAUGCCAUAGAGAGAACACGAGAGAGAGAGAGAGAGAGAGAGAUCAAACACAUAGCUACUGGUACAUAUCCUCAGCCCCGAGGGUGAACUACUCCCUCCUCGUCAUGGAUAGCGCCGGGAUGAUGAAGAUGGCCACCGGUGAUGGGUUCCCCCUCCGGCAGGGUGCCGGAACGGGCUCCCGAGAGGUUUUUGGUGGCUACAGAGGCUUGCGGUGGCGGAACUCCCAAUCUAUCUUCUCCGUGGAUGUUUUUAGGGUACGUGGGACUAUAUAGGCAAAAGAAGUCGGUCGGGAGGUGCUCGAGGGGCCCACGAAACAGGGGGCGCGCCCUCCUAUAUCCUGGCCUCCUCGAGGAUCUUCUCACGUGAACUCCAAGUCUCUAGGAUCAUAUUCUUCAAAAAAAUCACGCUGCCGAAGGUUUCAUUCCGUUUGGACUCCGUUUGAUAUUCUUUUUCUUCAAAAUACUGAAACAGGCAAUAAAACAACAAUAUGGGCUAGGCCUCCGGUUAAUAGGUUAGUCCCAAAAGUAAUAUAAAAGUGUAUAAUAAAACCCAUAAUCAUUCAAAACAUAUAAUAAAAUAUCAUGAAUGCUUCAUAAAUUAUAGAUACAUUGGAAUAGUAGUCUAUCAUCCCUAUUAAGCCAGGCUAUCACAUACACCCUCACUCAGAGAAACCGACGUCCUCGUUGGGCCACAGGAACGUUCCGUCUUGGCACAAACGUCUGUGCUUCCAGUCCGGCACAUGUGCCAUGCCAUGUGCCACGACGGGUCACAAAUGCCAUGCACAACAUGUCCGCGCACCUGUCCGCAAACAUCCGUAUAACCGCGAGGGUCGGCUCUGAUAUCAACUUGUAACACCCCGGACACACCCGCCGGUGGUCGUUACUCCUGGCGGGAUCUAGACUGGCCCCACAGAUCAAUACUAGUCUUUUCUGCGUACUUUGUCCUCACUCGUGCGCACCAGGGAGUAACUUCCCGGUCGGUCACUCAUCCUGAAAUUACUCCAAGCUAAGCACGCUUAACUUUGGAGUUCUGUCCGAAUGGGCUUCCGGAAAAGAAGGAAUUCCUUAUUGAUAUGAGUAGUCUAUCAUCCCUAUUAAGCCAGACUAUCACAAUAGUUUACCACCUCGGUCAUAUUGUCGUAGUGAUUAGGCGAAGCCUUGCGUGGAUCACAUCACCAAGACCGUCGCCACGCCGUCGUGCUGACGGAACUUUCCCUCGACCCUCUACUGGAUCAAGAGCUCGAGGGACGUCAUCGUGCUGAACUUAUGCUGAACACGGAGGUGCCAUACGUUCGAUACUUGGAUCGGUUGGAUCAUGAAGACGUUCGACUAUAUCAAUCGUGUUAACUAACGCUUCCGCUUUCAGUCUACGAGGGUACAUGGACACACUCUCCCCGCUUGUUGCUAUACUUCUCCUAGAUAGAUAUUGCGUGAUUGUAGGAAAAAAAUUCUAUGUUCCCCAACAAGUACAACAUAUAUACUUUGAAACAAAUGUUAGUAAAUUAUUUUAAAAAUGAUAAAAAUUUAUGAGAAAUAUCCAUAUAAAAAAAUGUAUAUUGUGCGUGAAAAAAUGUAGACGCAUGUUGAAAAAAAUAAAAAGGAAAAAACUAAAAAAAAACUGAUAAAAACUGGAUAGAGAAUGAAAACCUAGAAAACCGACAAAAGUACAAAGAAACCAAAAUAUAAAGAAAAAAUAAAAACAAAAAAAGAAGACAAAAAACAAAUGGAAAACAAAAAGAAAAUGCACUGAUACCUGCUCCCAGGAACCCCUAUUGGGCCGGCCCAUCCUUAUGUACCGCUUUAGGCGAGACAUAGCUCUCGCGGCUAGCAGACCCAAAACCCAACGUCUGCCUUGGAUCCCGCCUAAGGGGUUGGUUUUAAGAAAUUUUGAUGGUGCAGUUUUAAGAAAUGAUGGAAGGACCUGUUGCGGCUAUUUGCCGAGACCAAAGCGGCCUCUAUCUUGGCUCAUGUUUUGUUGCAUUUAGUGGCAUAAUAGAUGCACGACUCUAAAGACCUAGCGUGACGGUAAGCUCAAGAGCAAGACCUUGUCUAUGAUGUACUAGUCAGACGGAUCCUAAUAGCAUUGGAUUGUGCCACAAUUGUAAAGGAUAUCUCGGAUAAAGUGGGUGGACAUCAUGGAGCCAUAGUCAAUCAAUGCUUGUGUAAUUUCAACGAAUGCAACUUCACCUAUAAUAGUCGAGGUAGCAAUCAUGAAGUUGAAGUUUAACCAAAUGUUGUCUAGAUUUAAAUUUUGGACGUCAUGUUCGGCUUGUUGUGCCACAUGAUCACGUAACAACUUCUCUGAACAUCGUUGAUCACUAAAAUGCAGCGAAGUUCUCUAAAAAAACUAGUACUAUUUGUAGCAAAAAAAUUAUACUUUCUGUGUUUUUCCAUCAAAAAUGGACAAUGGUUUUUCAGCUCCCGGGUGCCCCUAGACCCUCUAUGAACUGUAAGUUAAAGAAAACAGAAAAUAAAUUCAAAAAAUCUGAAAUUUUGCAACAUCAACUAUGCUCAAACUUUGUAGGUGUUUACAAAUUUUCAUAACAAAAUAUCAUGUUGAGCUCUUCGAAUAUCACAAGUUUGAGAUUUCGGUGCUAAAAGUGCUAAGGCUGCAUACAGUAUGCCUCUGGAUUUUACGUAUAUUCUAUCUUUGAUCUUCUGUUUUACUCCCUUCCUUUCUAAAUAUAAGGCUUUUUAGAUAUUUCAAUACGGAGUACAUACGGUUGUAUUUAGACAUAUUUUCAAGUGUAGAUUCAUUCAUUUUGCUCCGUAUGUAGUUCGUAUUGGAAUCUAUAAAAUGGCUUAUAUUUAGAAACGGAGGGAGUAGGAAACAAGACACAAGGACUUCGGAGUCUCACCAUGUGGUAACCGUUGUCCUGAUCGUUGGUCCUAUAUUUGCAGGUAUGUAGAUGAGUGUAGUCGCCCUUAUAUUAUUUUUUUUUGAAAAGGGAAAUAUAUUAAUAUCGCGAUGAUACCAAUUACACACAGCCUCUGCACGUAUAAGAUGUUGUUAAGACAUCUAGAAUGCACACGGCCAAAAGAGAAAAUAAAAAGAAAGGAAAAAACAAAAGUCCCGCCACAGCACUCAACUCCUUUGAAUAGCAGCACUCAACUCCUUUGAAUAGCAGCACUCAUACCACCCCCAAAUACAACACCCGGAAAACAUAAAAGGUCUCCAAAAGCAACACCUCCAAGAAGGGAAUGGUGCACAAGCGCCAUCGUUGCCCGAUCCAAGAUCUUAGGUUUUCAGCCUGGAGAAAGUCCGCGCUCUCAAAACAAUUCCUUCAGCAAGGCAGUCGCCAGGCACAACCAAUAAAGGUCAGACCUUAAGUUUUCACCCUGAAAGUCACGACUCGAUGCCCAAGGGGUACCACCAAAGAUGAAAUCCACAAAUGUUGCCGCCCCACUUAUCACUGCUACUCCUGAGAGUCAUCUAACACCUGGCUGACUCCAUCGCCUCCACAACUCCGUCCGUGUAACUGAUCCUCCGACCUCGGCCACCAUGACCUUAUCCACUGUUGUCUCCAUCAUGAAAAUCGAGAAGCCGACAUGUCCUAAGGUGUCAUCGGUCAACAGAGCUUUAGAACCUCGUAGGUUGGUAUGGACGUGCACGACCAACAACUAAUCAAUCCAGAUAUCCUUAGCAAAUUCUCCGGCGGCCGUUCCAGAACACGCCGAUGGCCAGAUAAAAAGGGCCGAUCAAGCAGGACAUUGCCUUGACGCGAGAAGAGCACGAGGACCACAACUGGGACUAGAUGAUAGAUCGCGAGAUCCGCCAGACCAGCCACAACCGGCCGACCGCCUCCGGUGGAGGAGGAGAUCGCCACCGCCAUAAUCCUCGUGAUGCAUGGCAGAAUCGGAAAACCUCCGCGAACCGUAGCCGCAGCCGACGAGAGGAAGCAGUUUGGCGCGAUGGCAGCAGCCUGCUUUUGUCAGGUUCCGACGAUGGACCAUCACCAGCACUCUAGAUCGAGCCCACGACCGCCGCCUCCUACCAUCCCCGCCGACUGCAGCAGGCCCACCGAUGCGCCUCGGCCGCUGCUGCCCGCCAUCACCGCCGCAGGGGACCAAGAUCGGGCCGCCGCCACCUCAGAUCCGAGAUGCAGAGGAGGUCCACCGCCGCCACGCCACAGGGCCUUUGCCCGGCGAUGGCGGAGGGAGGGGAGGCGCAGGAGGUCGAGGGGAAGCCCGGUGAUGGCCGCCCGGUGCGGGCUGGCGGUGGCCGCAUAGGGUCGGGAGAGUCGCCCUUAUAUACCAUAAUGAUACACAGCAUAGUCAAACUUGAAGUUGUGGCUACUUCUAAACAGAUUAUCUCGUCCAGGACCGAUCAUUUUAUCCCUCCAUGAUGCAAGUGAUAUAUUCCUCGAGAUCAGGAAGAUGGCCAAGUACAGUGGCUGUGAGUGGCUAGCUGUUGUAGCAUUUCUACUUUUUGUGGCUUCCUGGAUCCUUCUUCGGCUUUUUCAGUUUGCAUGUGGUGCUACUUUACUUGAUUAGAAAGCAGCAUUACUUUACUAAGUUUUGUAGUGCAUUCUGUUGAUCAAUUCAGUGAUCUUGAGUCUUUUUCAGUUAUGAAAUAGCUAUGAUUCAGGACAAGGAGAACAAAAAAUCUACAGAACCUCAUACUACUAUAUUUUCAACGCACUCUUGUUUUCACUUCUGGUCUUUCACAUAUAUUGGUGGGUACUGAUUUACCGGAUGGUUGUCAAACAAAUUCAGUCCGGAGGUCAUGUUGGUGAGUGUGUUUGAUCCGGUCAGUGAUUCUUUUCUUGCUUAUUUCCUUGGUGUUAGAUUUAUUUUAUUUCUCAGCAACAUACUCUUAUGGAUUUAUUAUAAGCUACCCCUAAUUCUGAACGCAAAAACAACCAUGAAGAUUAAGCUGAAGGUUGUUGCAUGCUUAACUGAAGAACUGUAUAGUUCGCAGUUGGGAAUGAGAAUGGUGCAAGCGGGUUGUAUAAAGAAUGAGAAUGCUGCCGCCCCCUCCGCCGCCGUGGUGACUCCGGCCUCGGGUGCCGUCGCCGCCUCCGAGGGUCCCCCGUGCUUCAACUGCGGCGUGCCAGGCCACUUUCAGGUGGCUUGCCCCAACCCACCGACUUGUUACCUCUACAAGGAGGCCGGGCACCCCGCGGUUCUCUGUCCGGUGCGCCCGGUCACGGAGGAGAUCAUGAUGUUCGGCCACGGCAUCGAGGACAUGGGCUUCUUCCACAUCGAGGUGCCGGAGCUCCCGCCUCCCUCCCCCUCGCUCCUGGCCCUUGUGACGGUCGUGGGGGAGGGUGUCGCCACUCCGGCUCUGAUUGAGGCCGAGCUCAACCACCUCUGCCGAUGCAAGUGGGAUUGGCAAGUGACCUCCACCGCGCCCAACGCCUUCUCGGUGAUCUUCCCCGACGCCAUGAGCAUGGGCUUCUGCACCCGCAGCGACAACAUCACCUUGGCCCUCAACGGGACUAUGGUGAACAUCUCCGAGCCGAGGUGGGAUCCCAAGGUCGUGGCGGUCCUGGACACUGCUUGGCUCCUCAUCGCCGGCCUCCCUGACGUGGCCCGGUCUGAGCGGGUCAUUCGCAGUAUGUCCAAGAUCCUGGGCAAGGUGGUGGUGGUCGACGAGCUCUCUCUGCGCAAGGAGGAGGAGGUCUGGGUCAAGGUGAAAUGCCUCGACGCCUCCAAGCUCCACACCACGCUUCGAGUCUUCUUCAACGACGACGGCUACGACCUCACCAUCUGCCCCGAGCCGCUGAACCAUAUCAGCCGCCCCUGCCUCUCCGCUGACAGCCUCCAGGGGGGCGGGCCCGAGGAUGCCAAUGGCUCCCAUCACCGUCGCCCCCGCCACUCCCGCUNNNNNNNNNNNNNNNNNNNNNNNNNNNNNNNNNNNNNNNNNNNNNNNNNNNNNNNNNNNNNNNNNNNNNNNNNNNNNNNNNNNNNNNNNNNNNNNNNNNNNNNNNNNNNNNNNNNNNNNNNNNNNNNNNNNNNNNNNNNNNNNNNNNNNNNNNNNNNNNNNNNNNNNNNNNNNNNNNNNNNNNNNNNNNNNNNNNNNNNNNNNNNNNNNNNNNNNNNNNNNNNNNNNNNNNNNNNNNNNNNNNNNNNNNNNNNNNNUGGAGUCGGUCAGUGAUAUCUCGAGUGUGGGUCUGCUCGUCGUGCCCCCGUCUUCGCCCCGCUCUCCGUCCGCCGACUCCGCUCGCCGCCCCUCUCUGUUGGGCCCGGAACCUCCGUCCCCCCUGGCUCCGACCCCCCUGGUCCUCAUGGGUGGUGACGGCGUUACCCCACCCCUCGGAGAGCCCUCUCCGGUGCCCCCGCCCGCGGGGGAAGCGUCGGGCAACACCCUGGAGCUUGUCCCCCCGCUCCCCCCGCUAGUGGCCUCCGACGCCCACCCCACCUCCCCGGCCUCCCCGGCUUCGGCAGUGGCCGUGGUCGUCACCACGCCAGGCUCCGCGGUCCCUCCUCCGACGGUGGCGUACGCCAGGCGGCCCCUCUCCUCCUCGACGCCGGUGACUGCGUCUCGCCGCAGCGCCUGCCUCGAUGCGGCUCGCCCGGCCGACGCCUCGAUCCCGUCCAUCACUGAGCAGGCUGAGAUCCGGGCGGCUGCCCGGAACCUCGAGUCUGGUGUGGAUCCCGCCCUUCCCAGUUCUUCCUGUUGUUCCUUUUCCGCGCUUGAGGUCGUCCCUCUUCGACACCUAGCCAAGGUGGCCACUGACUCGGCCAUCGUCUUCAGGGGGGAAGUGGGUCCCCCUUUAGAACAGAUCGUGGCCAUUAGGGCUCGCGAGAUCCUUGAUGGCAAGUUGGCUGAGACUCGAGCUCGCCUACGUAGGACCCCUGAGGAGCAGACUGCACGUAGUGCUGGUCAGCCCCCUCUGGUGGUCGACGGGACCAUUCGUGGGCGCACUCGGUCCCGCACCGCUGCUCUCCGCUCCCAAAGCGCAUCUCAUGUUCUGGGGUCAAGCAGCCCUCCGAUGGGGGUUUAGAUGCGGGCCCUUUUUUGGAACAUCUACGGCUUCGGCCAUGAUGACCGUCGCCGCCAACUCGUCGAGUACGUGCGCGAUGAACACAUUGACAUCAUUGCGAUCCAGGAAACCAUGCGUACUGAGUUCUCCCUUCAUGAGCUUGAUUGCCUCAGCUCCCACCUUUUCGCCUGGCACUGGCUCCCUUCUAGUGGGGCCAUAGGCCACUCCGGUGGCAUCCUCUUAGGGGUUAAGGAUGCCACCUUCGAAGUGGGCGGCAUGGAUCGGGGCGAAUUCUUUGUUAGUAUGAAGAUCUUUGAGCGGGCCCUGAACUUCAAAUGGGAGGUCGUGAUUGUUUAUGGUCCGGCGGAUCACCGUCGUUCCCCGACCUUCCUUGCGGAGCUCCACCAAAAGAUCUCCGCCUCCCUCCUCCCAGUAGUUGUGGGCGGAGAUUUUAACCUCAUCCGUUCGCCGGAUGAGAAGAAUAAUGAUAGGAUUAACCUUCCCCGGAUGCAGUUGUUCAACGACUGGAUCGCGGAGCUCGGCCUUCGAGAGAUCGAGAGAACAGGGGCGAGAUUUACCUGGACUAACCGCUAGGCCGACCCGACACGAUCUGUGCUGGAUCGUGUCCUAGUUUCCCCGAAAUGGGAAUUGAGGUGCCCCCUGACCUCGCUGCGGGCGAUUACCCGCAUUGGGUCGGACCACGUCCCUCUCCUCCUAUCCUCUGCGGACGAGCGCCCCACCUGCCCGCCGCGGUUUAGGUUUGAGUCCUUUUGGCUCAAUCAGGCUGGCUUUCGGGAUGCGGUCUCGGCUCGUUGGACGCUUGCUCGCGCCUCCCCCCAUCGCUCCAUGUCCGCCGUCGACUCGUGGCACUUCUGCGCCAAGCUUGCCCGCCAAUUCAUGAAGGGCUGGGAUGCCAAUCUUGGUCGUGACCUCCGCGAGCGUAAAAGAUCUCUCCUGCUGGCUAUCCAAGCCCUGGAUGCUCGGGCUGAUUCUUCUGGGCUUUCUCCGGAUGAGUGGAUGCUGAGAUAUGAUCUUGAGGAUCAGCUAUCCUCCAUCUACACCGAUGAGGAGGCAUACUGGAGGGUGUGUGGUACCCAGCGAUGGGUGCUCCGCGGCGAUGCGAACACUACUUAUUUCCAGGCAGUUGCGAAUGGCCGACGCCGUAGAAACUCCAUCCACUGCUUAUGGGAGGAUGACGUCCCCCUUGUCCGCCCCCCGGCCAUUCGGGCUCAUGUAGACGGCUUCUACAAAGCCCUCUUUACCCCCACCCCUCGGGGUGGGGCUAGUCUCGCCCCCGACACUUGGGCGGGGGCACAGUUGGUCUCCGACGAGGCCAACACGGCCCUUGUUGCCCCCUUCGCCGAAGACGAGGUCCUUGCGGCCAUUAAAGGAAUGAACCCCUCCUUGGCCCCGGGUCCGGAUGGCCUGCCUGUUGUGUUCUUUAAAACAUUCUGGCAAACAGUCAAACCGGAGGUCAUGGCCUUAUUCGAGGAGUUCUAUUCGGGCUCUAUGGACCUGGGACGCCUCAACUAUGGGAUCAUUACCCUCAUCCCAAAGGUCCCGGGCGCCUCUGAUAUUCGCCAGUUCCGUCCCAUCACCGUGAUUAACGUGAUAUUCCGGAUCCUGGCCAAAGGAUACGCCAAUAGGGUGACCCUGCUUGCUAACUCGAUCACUCAUCCGAACCAAUCGGCCUUCAUCCAAGGCCGAUUUAUUCUAGAUGGCGUGUUGGUCUUCCAUGAAGUCCUUCACGAAGUUCGGGUGAAACAUCAUCAUGUUGUCUUACUGAAGCUUGACUUUCAUAAAGCCUAUGAUACUGUACACUGGCCUUUCCUUCGGGAAGUGCUGCUGCGUAAGGGCUUUGACGACCGCUGGGUGACUCGCGUGAUGCAAUUAGUCUCCUGUGGGCGGACUGAGGUGAACAUCAACGGCGAGAUUGGGCCAUACUUCCCCACUCUUUGUGGGGUUCGUCAGGGUGACCCAUUCUCGCCGUUCCUGUUCAACAUGGAGGUUGAUGCUCUGGCCUCCAUCCUGGAUAAGGCUAAGGGUGUCGGCCAUAUCCAUGGCAUUGUCCCCCACCUAGUCGGAGGGGGAGGGGUCUCCCUCCUUCAAUACGCGGAUGACACAUAAUAAUGGUGGAAGGUUCUACUCAGGACGUGGCUAACCUGAAGUUCCUCCUCCUGUGCUUCCAGCAGAUGUCGGGCCUAACGAUCAACUUUGAUAAGAGCGAAGUGAUGGCUCUAGGCUACCCUCCGGUGGAAGCUCAGGCUAUUGCUGACCGCCUGAACUGUCGGCUGGGGUCUUUCCCCACGACCUACCUGGGGAUCCCCGUUAGUGAUUCGCGCCUCACCGUGGCAGACCUCCGCCCUACGGUGACCCGCUUGCAGCACCGCGUCGAGCCUUGGAAAGGGCGUUGGCUAUCGAAGGUUGCGCGUGUGAUUCUCAUCAACUCCUCACUCGCCAGCCUUCUUUGGUUCCUCAUGAGCUUUUAUAGCCUCCAUGAAACGCUGCACACGGAAAUUGCCAAGUACCAAUCCAGGUUCUAUUGGGCUGGCGACGAUGACAAACAGAAGUACCACAUGGUCAGUUGGCCGGACAUUUGUAAACCCAAAGACCAGGGGGGUCUUGGGAUUCUGUCCUCCCGCCGCAUGAACAUCGCCCUCUUGACCCGGUGGUUAUGGCGUAUUGCUAAUGGGGACGGAGGGUUGUGGCUCACCAUUAUCCGCAACAAAUACCUCCGUGGACAGCCUCUGGCUUUCUGUCAGUGUUCGGGCGAAUCACAGUUUUGGCAGGCCGUCGUUCAGCUGCUUCCUGUGCUUCGCAUUGGCACGUCCAUCUCGGUUGGUACUGGGUCCACGACCCUGUUCUGGUUCGAUCGGUGGAUCGGCGACACCCCUCUGGCCGCCCGCUUUCCCGAUCUCUUUGCCAUUGCAGUUGACCCUUGGGUCUCUGUUGAGACGGCCCUUAUUGACUUAGGGCGCCUCGCGUUUCGUCGCUCUUUUGGCCCUCCCGAAGUAGCCGCCUGGGAUGCCCUUCUCCAGGACAUCGCCCUUCUCCCGAUGAGCGUCACCGACGCCCCGGACGCCAUCUCGUGGCACCUAGAGUCUUCCGGACGCUUCUCUACUAGGUCCCUGUACGCGGCCAUCGCGCCUUCGCCCGCCCCCGAGCCCUUCGGUUUGAUCUGGGAUAUUCGCUUGCCACUGAAGAUUAGGAUCUUCCUUUGGCAAUGGAUCCGUGGUCGCCUCCCUUCUGGAGUCGAAGUCCUCAAGCGUAACGGACCCGGAGAUGGGCUUUGCCCUCUGUGCGGCACGGUGGAGGAUGCUAACCACAUCUUCUUCACGUGCCCCACGGCCCAGUUUCUUUGGUCCAGUUUCCGCGAGACGGUUGGUGGACAGUGGUGCAACUCCAACUUUCCUGACCUUCUCACGGAGAUCCAUGCCUCCCCCCCUCGCUACCGACAUAUUCGUUGGCUCUGCGUUGGGGUCCUCGCCUGGACGCUGUGGACCGUCCGCAAUAAGCUUGUCAUCCAAAAGGUCCCUCUUCGACGUGCUACUGACGCCAUUUUUAAAAUGUGUGGGUACAUGCAGCUUUGGCGGCCGCUUAGCCGCCCUCAGGAUCGGGACGUCAUCAACUCCCUCCUCGCCGACCUUCNNNNNNNNNNNNNNNNNNNNNNNNNNNNNNNNNNNNNNNNNNNNNNNNNNNNNNNNNNNNNNNNNNNNNNNNNNNNNNNNNNNNNNNNNNNNNNNNNNNNNNNNNNNNNNNNNNNNNNNNNNNNNNNNNNNNNNNNNNNNNNNNNNNNNNNNNNNNNNNNNNNNNNNNNNNNNNNNNNNNNNNNNNNNNNNNNNNNNNNNNNNNNNNNNNNNNNNNNNNNNNNNNNNNNNNNNNNNNNNNNNNNNNNNNNNNNNNNNNNNNNNNNNNNNNNNNNNNNNNNNNNNNNNNNNNNNNNNNNNNNNNNNNNNNNNNNNNNNNNNNNGACUAGUUGAUGUCGUUCAUUUCUGUUCUAGGGCUUGUUGAGAUGUGUCCUCAGCAUUAACCCUUUUGAAUCAUGUGUGUGUUCUUGGUGUGUGUUUGCGUGUGUGUGAACCUUUGUGAAUUGUUGGCUUGGGCAUUUGCUUUAUAAUAUAAAGCGGGGCGAAAGCCUUUUUCAGUAAGGAGGAGCUAGUUAGCAUAUCCAUUAGGAGGAAAUUGAGGCACAAAACGAAAACUGAAAAGGCUCGAAUCUCGGUGCCACUGGAACAAGCCUCCUUGAUGUAUCUUUUUUGUAAAUUGGGUGUAUGAGGUGAUGCUAUCAUUCAGGGUCUUGAGGCAUCAAUCAUACAUCGUGAUAUUAAUCUCCAUAUGUAUGUGAAGAUGUUUUUUAAGAAAUACCGAGCCUUCAAGUUAUAAAAACUCUUUUUUAUAUAUGUGGCUUGAUUGUAAUUUAGUGGUCAUAUUCUCAAAUAUAAAAA
rnacentral:lncRNA from 1 species